rnacentral:rRNA from 1 species
UUCUUUCUAGAAACACUUUCCAGUACUUCUACUUUGUUACGACUUAUUUCAAUUUAUAUAUGAAAGCGACGGGCAAUAUGUACAUAUUUUAAUUUAUAAUCAUUUUAAUAAAUUAAAUAAAAUUACAUUUAAAUCCAUUUUCAAAUAUUUAUUAAACAAUAAUAUCCAUUUAUUUAUUAUAUAUUGUAAUCCAUUAUAUUCUUAAUUAUAAUCUGCAUCUUGAUCUGAACUAAUUUAUAUUUAUAAUUUUAAAAUAUUAUUUUUAUUAGAAAAUAUUUUUUUAACAACGAUAUACAAAAUUCAUAAAUUAAGUAAAUUUAUUCGUGGAUUAUCAAUUAUUAAACAGAUUCCUCUAAAUGAACUAAAAUACCGCCAAAUUAUUUAAGUUUUUAUAAAUUAUUAUAUACUAAUUUAGUAUUAUUAAUUUAAUUUUUAAUAAUAGGGUAUCUAAUCCUAGUUUUUUUCAAAAUUUAAUAAAUCAUAUAAUUAAUUAAAAUUUUUAUUAAAUUAAAAUUUUACCUAAUAAAUUAAUAUUUAAUUUUUAUCUUAUUAUAUUAAUUAUUCACUAAUAAAAUUUAAAUUAUUAUUUGUAUAACCGCAACUGCUGGCACAAAAUUUGUUAAUAAAUAUAAAUAUUACUAAAUCUUAAUUUCUUAAAUUUAUAAUUUUAAUUACUACCAAUUUUUUUUAAAAAUUAUUAAAAUAAUUAAAAAUUAACACUAAAAUUUAUAUGUAAAAUAAAUUUAAAUUAAAUUUUUUAAAUCACAAAAUUUAU